CUUCUUUUCAAAACACAACCUACUACAUGGCUAUUUGAGGGUUCGGCUGGGCAGAAAACAGGAGUUUCCUCCCUCCUCUGGGGUUAUUUAAGGAAAACUCAGUGUUUCCCCUCCUCUCCAUGCAGUUCUGGGUGUGGUUUUGAAACUUCUGUGAAUGAUGUGUAUGCCUUUGACUCAGUCCUUAACUUAAAGAGGGGAGGAGGAGCGUAUUAGUUGGAGCACAGUUUGAGCUUGGGGUUGCAUUGGAGCUAAGGAGCAACUUGUAUGAUCUGCUGUAUUCUCUGUUUAAGCUAUGGCUUUAGGAUCAUCACACUAAGGGCAUAUAAAGACAAUUGGGCUUUAAAUCAAUCCCAAGUGAAAGCUGGCAGUACUUUUGUUAAUGAUCUCAGAGUUUUAGAAGACUUCCAACAUGCACACCAUCCUAAGGGUGAGUAUGUUUCAACGUGUAAUGAGCCGGACAUGAACUUUUAAGUGUUGAUGUGGUUGAUUCCAUAAUGACGUGCUAGGUAGUAUCUAACAUAAGUACUUCCACUGCGUGGCAGUGAGUAGCUAUUGCAUGUAAGGUCAUUUAUAUGUAUGUAGUGCAGUGAGGACCACAAUGGAAACAAGUCUUUUGACUUUUUGUGUAUAUAAUCCUCUGAAAUGUUGGUACAUGUAUUUGUUGCCUGGUGUGGCUUCUUUAUGUAUUUUUAAAUAAAAACAUCAAGUGGCACACAUACAUCUAAAUGACAUAAUCAUUAAUUUGACAUCAUUUGUACUGUAUGUAUGACUGUGAAUAUGCAAAAUAAGUGAAUUAACAGUACUGGUCAUAUGGUUAUCAGAAAGCACAUGGCCAAAGCAUGUGGACAGUAUAACUACAUCCAGUCCAGUGCGAGGUUCUAAACAGGCAUGGAGUGUGUGUUUGAUCAGGUGCAUCAGUGAAUGUGAGCCCCCCUCCUACAGGACUGUUCCUCUGUCUGCUAUCUGCCUGUCUAUAAGUCAGUCUGUCUGUCUUUCCGUCAGCCUAUCUGUCUGUCUCUCUCUCUCCCUUUCUCCUCCUCUCUCUCCCCAUCUCUCUUUUUCUCCAUCCUACAUGGGGCAGCCAGUGGGAUUCCUGGCAGAGUGAUUUGGUAUUGUGUCAUAAAAUCACAUUGCCAGGGAUUUCCAACCAGCUGCAUGCCACCCACUUCAACAUCAUCCCCAUCCAGGAGCCUGUUGUCUUCCUCAAUCUUUGUCCACUGUCUCCAAGCUACAUUUUCUGUCAGAAGCUCACCCGGGAUGAGGAUCAUCACACUACUGAGGCCAAUGACUCUCAUGGUCAGGAUGUACUGUCGAUAACGGCCUCUUACUUUCCUCAGCAUUUUAAUAACGCCACAGACAAGCAUUAUUUUCUACAAAUGUGAAAUGUUCCAUAACAUCUAAUUGUGGUUUCCCAGUCCCUUGCUCAGUCUCAACACCCCGCUCAGAAUUGGUAAAUAUACUCUAGCACUUUAUUCAGGCGGGGAUAAACCAACAAGGAUAUUGUCCAUAAGCCAUUGUCACCAAAUAUCUCCACAAGUGAAUGUAACUCAAUGGUGAUCCAUAUCUGAAAGCUUGUACUUUUUUAGAAUAAGAAGAAAAAAACGGCAAACGGAAAAAUGGAUCCACAAGAGAAAUGGAGGACAUCUGGAUCUAGUGAUACAGAAUUUAGAGUUUCCUGAGGUGCAGGACUUAGCCAGCUUUGUGAACAGAUCUGUGAAAGCCCAUGUUCACAGUGGCUAAGUUCCGCUCCUCAGAGGCCAUCUCUCAUCAGCAGUGAAGUGAAACCCUGGACAUGAUGGAGGGGCGAGCAAACACUGUGGGGAGGGGAGGGGGCAGGCCAGGGUCUCAUACAGGAAGGAAACACAGGAAAUGUCCCAUUGGGAAAACCAGUAACAAUCUAAUUGUCCCAUUGGGAAAACCAGUAACAAUCUAAUUGUGAACCAUACUCCCAUUUUCAAUCAGGUUGGUCAAGUCGAGGGCCACGGUCAAAGCUGUUCUAAAAAGCUCUAGAAUUUAGAGUGAUAAACACUCUUCCUCAUGCCGUGUCUUGGUUGUGUUUCGAAGUGGUUUAUUUUCAGCACAGCCUAUUUAUCCCAGCAUGUGCAAUGUAUUUGUAACUUCUAAGGAAAUGAAAUAUGUCAUUGCGUUAUUAUUUUCUGCAGUAAGACCUACCCAGUGCUUGUGUGAGUUUGAGACUCAUUAUUAACUACACAUGUUGUAUAAAUAAUCUACUGUGACAUUGUGGAUGUAAGCAUUAUAAUCAUGACGACUGCUUGUUGGAAUGACUAGACCACCAGAUCACACAUGGACUCAGCUGUAUGUAUGUAUAUGGACAAAGGAACUGUCCAUAAUAACUCCCACCAUCUUGUAGGUGUGCCUCCCUGUGGUGAAAAUGGAGCAUUGCGAGUUAUGGGGCUCAACCUCCUGUGCCUACUGA
rnacentral:lncRNA from 1 species